GCUCACUUGGGCAGCACAUACACUAAAGUUGGAGCAAGACAGUGAAGAUUAUUUACAGCCUCUGCACAAGGAUGGCAUUCCAAUCCAUGAAGGGUUCCAUAUUUAA
rfam:Erinaceus europaeus unplaced genomic scaffold scaffold00276, whole genome shotgun sequence